rnacentral:rRNA from 1 species
GACGACCGCUGGCGGCGUGCUUAACACAUGCAAGUCGAACGAAGUGGCGAACGGGUGAGUAAUACGUGGGUAACCUGCCCUCCUUUUUGGGAUAAGCCUUGGAAACGGGGUCUAAUACCGCCUAAAGGGGGAUGGGCUCGCGGCCUAUCAGCUUGUGGGUGGGGUGAUGGCCUACCGAGGCGGUGACGGGUAGCCGGCCUGAGAGGGUGACCGGCGUCAGUGGUGCUGAGAUACGGGCCAGACUGCUACGGGGGGCAGCAGGGGGGGAUAUUGCACAAUGGGCGAAACCCUGAUGCAGCAACGCCGCGGGCGGGAGGACGGCCUUCGGGUGGGAAACCGCUUUCAGCCAUGACGCGGGAGUGGCAGAAGAAGCACCGGCUAACUACGUGCCAGCAGCCGCGGUAAUUC